rnacentral:rRNA from 1 species
UUUUUUUGAGAGUUUGAUCCUGGCUCAGGGUGAACGCUGGCGGCGUGUCUAAGGCAUGCAAGUCGAACGCCCCGCUUCGGCGGGGAGUGGCAAACGGGUGAGUAACACACUGGUAAUCUACCUCAAAGACGGGAAUAACUCGGGGAAACCUGGGCUAAUACCCGAUGUGCUAGUCCUUCAUUAGUUGGACUAGUAAAGCUCCGGCGCUUUGAGAUGAGCCUAUGUUUCAUCAGCUAGUUGGUAAGGUAAAAGCUUACCAAGGCUACGACGGAUAGCUGGUCUGAGAGGACGAUCAGCCACACUGGGACUGAGACACGGCCCAGACUCCUACGGGAGGCAGCAGUGGGGAAUCUUGCACAAUGGGGGAAACCCUGAUGCAGCGAUGCCGCGUGAGUGAAGAAGGCCCUUGG